AUCUAGCCAUGGGCAGGUUGAAGGUUGGGUAACACUAACUGGAGGACCGAACCGACUAAUGUUGAAAAAUUAGCGGAUGACUUGUGGCUGGGGGUGAAAGGCCAAUCAAACCGGGAGAUAGCUGGUUCUCCCCGAAAGCUAUUUAGGUAGCGCCUCGUGAAUUCAUCUCCGGGGGUAGAGCACUGUUUCGGCAAGGGGGUCAUCCCGACUUACCAACCCGAUGCAAACUGCGAAUACCGGAGAAUGUUAUCACGGGAGACACACGGCGGGUGCUAACGUCCGUCGUGAAGAGGGAAACAACCCAGACCGCCAGCUAAGGUCCCAAAGUCAUGGUUAAGUGGGAAACGAUGUGGGAAGGCCCAGACAGCCAGGAUGUUGGCUUAGAAGCAGCCAUCAUUUAAAGAAAGCGUAAUAGCUCACUGGUCGAGUCGGCCUGCGCGGAAGAUGUAACGGGGCUAAACCAUGCACCGAAGCUGCGGCAGCGACGCUGAUGCGUUGUUGGGUAGGGGAGCGUUCUGUAAGCCUGUGAAGGUGUGCUGUGAGGCAUGCUGGAGGUAUCAGAAGUGCGAAUGCUGACAUAAGUAACGAUAAAGCGGGUGAAAAGCCCGCUCGCCGGAAGACCAAGGGUUCCUGUCCAACGUUAAUCGGGGCAGGGUGAGUCGACCCCUAAGGCGAGGCCGAAAGGCGUAGUCGAUGGGAAACAGGUUAAUAUUCCUGUACUUGGUGUUACUGCGAAGGGGGGACGGAGAAGGCUAUGUUGGCCGGGCGACGGUUGUCCCGGUUUAAGCGUGUAGGCUGGUUUUCCAGGCAAAUCCGGAAAAUCAAGGCUGAGGCGUGAUGACGAGGCACUACGGUGCUGAAGCAACAAAUGCCCUGCUUCCAGGAAAAGCCUCUAAGCAUCAGGUAACAUCAAAUCGUACCCCAAACCGACACAGGUGGUCAGGUAGAGAAUACCAAGGCGCUUGAGAGAACUCGGGUGAAGGAACUAGGCAAAAUGGUGCCGUAACUUCGGGAGAAGG
rnacentral:rRNA from 1 species